GCAUGAAGAGGGAAGCAUGUUGCCUUCUGGGCCAUAGAAGUAAGCAGAGGAACCACUGAAAUGGAGUUCUGCAGCGAGAAAGGGGGAUUGCAUUCAGGUCCAAAUGCCAGGGGACAGUGAACGUGAUUUCUUCAGCCCUUCGAUGCUGCUUCAGCCCGAACAGUUCUCAGUAGGACAGAUCUUCAGGGAGCACCUGAGUCUCAAGGCUAAAUGUUGAGGACGUAGCCCAGGGUGUCACACAGCUGGACAAGUGCUCUGUUAUGGAGCUAUGCCACCGGACCUUGAGUAAUAUCAUGAUUGAACAAGAUCUCUCUCUUAAAGAUAACUCCUUGAGGAUUUAUAAAGACAGUGGCCAAAAUGAAGUCAGUCCCGCUUACGAUUGUCAUCUAACAUGCCAUGACAAGACAGAGGACAAAGGUUGUCUUGAGAUGAAUCCCUGGGUGCCAAGGACCGGUGAGAACCAAUGUAUCCUGGUCAUUUUGAGAAAGAAGUGUGUCCUCCUGUGAUCCCAGACACAGGAUGAUUUUAAUUGCUGAGCCACCUUGUCGGCCCCUCAUUUUUCUUCCUUAUGUCUUCAUGAGCU